rnacentral:rRNA from 1 species
AGCGAACGUUAGCGGCGGGCCUAACACAUGCAAGUCGAACGCGAAAGGUCUUCGGACUGAGUAGAGUGGCGCACGGGUGAGUAACACGUAGGUAAUCUACCCUUUGGCGGGGGAUAACGUUCCGAAAGGAGCGCUAAUACCGCAUAAGACCACGGAGUCUCCGGACGCUGUGGGAAAAGGUGGCCUCUUCUUGAAAGCUACCACCGAAGGAUGAGCCUGCGUCCCAUCAGCUAGUUGGUAAGGUAAUGGCUUACCAAGGCGAAGACGGGUAGCUGGUUUGAGAGAAUGAUCAGCCACACUGGCACUGGAACACGGGCCAGACUCCUACGGGAGGCAGCAGUGAGGAAUAUUGGGCAAUGGGCGAAAGCCUGACGCAGCGACGCCGCGUGGGGGAUGAAGGUUUUCGGAUUGUAAACCCUUUCAUGAGGAAGAUAAAGUGGGUAACCGACUUAGACGGUACCUCAAGAAGAAGCCACGGCUAACUUACGUGCCAGCAGCCGCGGUAAAGU